GUUAAUCAGCGGACUGGAGACGCGUCAAAUCUCUGUCACCUCUCAACAGCUCGGGUUUAGUUUAGUUUUUUGUUAAAAAAAAAAAAAAAACGCUAACUGCUUGUUUUUGCUCUCGGUAUGUGCGGCUAGGAGUACCCUUUUACAUACGAAUAUAUACUGAAGUUGGAGUUUCAUCUGAAGACAAGUGAAAAUAUGCCAGCACACGGAAACGCCUGGGGCUUGUGGAAAUCCGUGUGAGUUGUAUGAGGGAGAAGAUUUUACCAUUGAAAACGUCGAGGUGCUCUGUUUACGUUUUCGUUUGCUGAACUCAGAGAACUUAAACCACCCCUGAACACAUAUUUCUUCUAGUAAAUGCUGGGUUCGGUAAAAGAAAAACAACAACAACAACCAACCUGGACGGAUAUAUUCCUGAGCUUUAUUCCUGAGAUUUAUUCCUCAGCUCUUCAUACAGAAGUCUAGAAGGCUCUGAAGGACUUUAGUGCAUUUCUGACUCAGUUCAUUCACCCCACUGACUACUAAAACUCCAAAUCUCAUGAGAGAGUGAAUUUUAUUUAUUUAUUUAUUUUUAUUAAUUAUUUAAAAAACAUUUUUUUGGGGGGGGGACCUGGAUGCAGAUAAUGAGUUUUCUUCAGUUUUCCUCAGGACCUUCACACACAUUCACAUUAUUGAUUCUCCUCAUGCAUGUGCACUCAAGUGCAGUAGCAAAACGACACAUGGUCUACUGGAACUCUACCAACACCAGGUUAACGAGCGAUGACUAUUCAGUCCAGGUAAAUCUGAACGACUACCUGGACAUCUUGUGCCCUCACUACCCGUCCGGCUCUCCUGAGAAAGGCCCUCCGGAGACGCUGGCGCUCUAUCUGGUAGCAGAGAACCAGUUUCAGGGCUGCCAUGAGACCGAAGGAGCCAUAAAGAGGUGGGAGUGCAACUCUCCGUACGCGCCCUUCGGCCCGGUCCGAUUCUCCGAGAAGAUCCAGCGCUUCACGCCCUUCUCUCUGGGCUUCGAGUUCCUCCCUGGACACCACUAUUACUACAGCUCCCUGUCUGUGGAUGAUGGACCCCCCCUUCCGUGCAUGAAGCUCAAAGUCACUGUGUGCUGCGAGUCCAGUCCCUCCAUGGUCCUCCAGCACGCUUAAUCUUCUCCCAUCGCUUUCUUGCUUCCCUGCCAUCUUUUUCGGGAUGCGACCUUUAAAAGAAGCGGGGAUGUAUUUUGGGGUUGCACAGCCGUUCGUAAUUUUUCAUGACAUUUCUGUCAACAGAUGGUAAAAAGGUAGAAGGUAAGAUGUUGCAUUGACAGGAGUGACAAUAUUGUGCUUAUUUGAUGAGGCCUUCUAGAUGUUGGGAAUUGUUUUAAUAACUCCCGCUACUGAUAUAUAAAUGAGUAAAAAGUAAAUUGCGUGCAAUAUCUUUUCACAGGAACUCCAGCUCCCCACAGUUUUGCCCAACCUGGAAGAACUAGUCCACUGCCUGUCCUCGCUCUCACCUCCUUUUCUCUGUUUUGUCUUUUAUGAUAAUUGGAAGAUUCGACCCAGCUAAAUAGCAAAGACUUGCCAACAGGUCAUGAACGAUCAUUCCCUAUCUGUAGCUAAGCACACAUGCGAACACACACACACACACAGACACACACACACACACACACACACACACACAUUCACACACUCACUCAGCUCACGCCUUACUGUCAUGUAUUUGGAGUGGCACUAAUCUCGCUCCCUCCAUUUCCUCCCUCUCUCUGUCCACUCUGCGCCGCUUCAUUCUACAAGCGACUGGCACUAAUCUACCUUCAAAGAGCUCUUCCUGCUGCUCUUCUUUUGCGUAAUCCUUUCUUCAUCUAAAAAAAAAAAAAAAGAAAAAAAACACAGCCCCCCCCUUCCCUCCAUCCACCACUUUUCUCUUACUGUACGCUACUACUGAACUGAGCCAAAGGGGAGAAGACGAGGAGAGCAGUGGACGUCCCUGUAGCACCUGUGCUGCUAAGAAAAAGCACAGGGAGGGACACAGCACAAGCAAUAAAGCUCUCGACUCAUUCAUCAGCUCUCAGGAUCACACGAGAAGACUUUAUUUUGCUCACUUUCUGCCACGGAUGAACUCGAGCCAAAGCGAGACACCACUACACUUAAGAUGAAACAUUUACCAUGUAUCUGAGGAGUAGCACAGACAAACGUGUCAUUUUUCAUUCAGAACACACUUGAGAGGAAACUGCAUCAAAGCUUCAACAAACUAAUCACUAAGGAUUGGACCAACAGGAAGAGGAUUUACUGCUUCCUGUUCAGGCGCAGCCGGAAAUGGCCAUUUCCCGUAGCAUCUCAGCAACGGUGAACGCGAUUGGACAGUUCGUUUCACACCGCCAGUAACGCGUGAAAAUGAUUGGUCAGUUCUCCUCUCCACUCCUCUCGCUUAAGAUGAUUGGUCCGUUUCCUGAACACGUGAUCACAUUCAGAUUCUUUUACUGAUGAUUUUAUUUUUAUUUUUUUUUGUUUUUUUUAUGUUCUGUCUACAUUCCUAGAAUUCUACAUGUAUGUACUGGCACCCAAUUCGAUUAUUAUACAGGUAACGAAUUCUGUUUGGUUUUUUUGGAAUAAGAGAAUAUAUUGAAUAUUUCAACAUAUUGUUUCUUUUCGUUAUUCAUUCCAAAGUGAAUUCAGAACAUGCUGUAUGCUCCUAUUUUACAGAAAUAAUACAUAAUAGAAAAUGGAUCUGUUUUUGUAAUAGAAAUUAAAUUUGAUUGAGAAGUAACAAAUCCUAUUUAAAUUCACUUAAAAAUGUUUGUUUAAAAGUCUUGUAUCUUGUGAUAUUGUGCAAAACAAAUUUGCAUUGUUUUGUUUUUUUCUCUUUCUAUGAAAUUUCAGUUUUUAUACUGACUCCAGUUAUUGAAUCAAGGGUGCCAGUGCAUUACUUAAAAAAAAAAACAAAACAAAAAAAAAAACAUUAUAUAUAUAUAAACAAUUUCUAAAAAAUUCCAAAAUGAAAAGUGUAAACCAGUCAAGUUUACACAGAAAAUGAUGUGCUGGAUUUAUUAUGAUUUAGGGAUUAUGUUUUCUCUGUGUAAUUAGUGUUUUUCACAUUUUAGUGAAGAGUUUUGUGUCUUCUGUGAAGAAUUACAGGUUUAACUGUUUUUGUACUGUGAAAUAAAUGAUUAAUUUGUGUUCGAGUCAA